rnacentral:rRNA from 1 species
ACACGACUACAUUAGAUACCCGCGUAGUCCCAGCCCUAAACGAUGCGCGUUAGGUGUAUCGGUGACCACGAGUCACCGAGGUGCCGAAGGGAAACCGUGAAACGUGCCGCCUGGGAAGUACGGUCGCAAGGCUGAAACUUAAAGGAAUUGGCGGGGGGAGCACCACAACGGGUGGAGCCUGCGGUUUAAUUGGACUCAACGCCGGGAAGCUCACCGGAUAAGACAGCGGAAUGAUUGCCGGGCUGAAGACCCUGCAUGACCAGCUG